UCUUGUGAUGAUUUUUUUUUUUGAAAUAUAUACGCUGGAAAUUACCGGCUGAGACUUUCGAGUCGCAGAAGAUAUCAAAUGGCUAUUUCUGAUC
rnacentral:snoRNA from 1 species